GCAUUUCUUUCUCCCAGACUCAGCCAGUCCAUCACGUCUCACUAUCGCUUUGUUAUCUGCGCCCAACUCCUCUCUCCUUACAGUAAUAGCUGCUGUUUUAAGUCCCAAGGAUAAUGGGCAAGUAGAAUAUGUACUGCUGGAAGGAAGAAGAAAGAAGGGCUUAAAUAUCCAUGCAAAGAUUUAGAAAUGGCGACAAUGCACUUCCUGAAGACUCCUUACUCAUAAAACAGUCAUUGCUCCUGAGGCCAAUGGUUUUACAAGUGGUGAUUCAAAACCUGAGAGCAUGACCUGGUACAGUUUCAGUUUCCAGCAAGUAGCUGCUAACAUGCAGUGCCUAAAGGCUGCCUCAUGUUUAUCAAGUAUGAUUGCAGAGAGAAUUCAGUGCUGGUGGAAGUGACUGGAUUCACAGCUGUGGAAAUGGAGAUGGAGACACCCUGUCUCAUGCAGCAACUGUCUGAAGGACUGCUGCAGGACCAUGCACUGCCCUUCAUCUGCUCCCUGGCAAGGCCAGGAAACCUGCUCAUGUCACCCCAUGGACCAGUUCCUGUAGGCAUUAUCUGCAGACUCUGUCAACAACAGCUUGCAAUUUCAUUCUUGCAGCUACAGCGCUGGACGUGUGGGGAUUUAAUGAGAAAUUCAGUCAUCGUCCCGAAAACCAAAUUGCGUUUAAAAUACAUUUCCACCCUGCCCUGCCAUCUUGCUUCUGUUUAGUGUGUAGACAGCUCUAUGCAUAAGGGAAUCAAACUCCUCGGUGCCCUCUGCAUCCCUCGACCUGAGUCACAGCCUUUGCAGCAGGAAAAAAUGCAGGUCCUUGCCUCAAUUUGCAGAGCAGAUUUUGAGAGCAAACCUGUCAUCACCAGUGCCCUAAGCUGAUAAUGUGUAUGGUGAGCAUGGGGAGGUUAAGAUGAGGACAUCUGGUUUGUUCUAUUUCUGGUACAAGAACAAUAUCCACCCGUCAAGGGGGAGGGCAGACAGUUCAGCAUGGUGGCAUCUCUAGCCAGCUAAAUACAACUGGGCUAUGAGUCAGUUGUCUUUCUAGCAUGGCAUCAGACAAAUAUCUGAACUGUAGCAUACAAAGGGUCCUUUGUUUCUAUUUUAAGAGCUGUGUGAACAGAGCUAGAAUACUGCAGCUAUUUUCCACUAUGGUUUAUCCCUUCACACAGUUAGAGUCUGCUCUGAUCAGGCAACAAAAUCCCAGGCUUGGAAAAAUCCUCGCCUCAUGAUCAGUAAAUUCUGCUGAGAGUAAAGCAAGGUACAAACAUGAAGAAAAAAAAAAAGAGUUGGUGGAGUGGGCGCAGAGAAAUAAAAAGAGAAAGCAGUGCAGAAGACGUCAAAAGUCAUAACUGGAAAGGAAGGAAGAUAUCAAGAAAUGCAAUUGCAAAUCAGAGGAGAGACUGGAUAAAAACAAGGCAUAGCAAGAUCUGUUAUUAAAGAAAAUGUACAGACCCAUAAAAGUGGUUGGGAGGAAAUGACAGCCUGGCUUCAAAAAAGCUAAUGCUGCUGGUCUUGAGUUGCACCAGCGGAGGUUCAGGUUGGAUAUGAGGAAAAAUUUCUUCUCAGAAAGAGUGAUAAUGCACUGGCACAGGUUGCCCAGGGAGGUGGUGGAGUCACUGUCCCUGAGGUGCUCAAGAGCCAUGGAGAUGUGGCACUAAGGGACAUGGUUAGUGGGGGACGAUGGUUUGCUGGUUGGACUCCACGAUCUUAGUAUUUUGUUGGUUUUGUUGUGGUUUUUUUUUCAUAUCUUAAUGAUUUUCUGAUGAUUUUAUAAUUCUUUAGAUCAGCUGGACCUGUCAUGGCCCAGCCUCAAUGGCAGGGCACCUCUGGCCUGGAGAAAAAGCUCCAGGUGAGACCCAACAUCUUUUUUGGUGAAAGCUCCCCUCUAGGAAGUGGUUCCAAUCCCCCAGUGCCGAAUGUCUGAAUGUCUCUGGGCCCCACCAGAAAAGGAACCACCAGCAAGAAAGGAGGUCUUUUCCACCUGCAGUCUGCCUGGCUCCAGAUCUUCUCCUCUGCUUCUCACAGAAAUGAGCUUUUUCUUCAUGCCAGGCUAAAAACCUGCAGGUCUUUCUUCCUAACUUCUGAAUUUCAUGAAGCAACCUGAGAAAUGUGGAGUCUCUGAUGCUGUUUCCUGAGGCAAAGCAUUUAAUUCUGCAGCACAAUGAUCUUUUGAAGUCUGUUAAAAAAUGGCCCAUUCUGCUCCAAAGGCAGGAAGUAAAACUUAAGGCGUCAAAUCAUAGUACUGCCAUUCACCAAAGGCAGACAGCACAAUUCAAAAGACUGACAAUAACAUCCUGCAAAUAGUAAUAUUUUUUUUUCUCAGAAUUUGUCCAUAAUUGACUAAUUUCCAGCAGGGAAAAGAAAUAAUGAGAAGCUGCUCAUCUCUUGGCCCAGGCCAGCAGCAAUGCUGUGGGCUGUAGCUAGCUAGCAAAUUGCACCAGCUCAGUCCCUCCAGGGCUAGGUUUUAAGUGUUAAGCUCUUGCAGCUCUGCCACCACUGGAGUGUGCCUGUGGGACCUUGUUCCAAAUCUUUGCAGCACGUCAUUUGCCCCCGAGAGAGUAUUUCUUGUUUAUGUUUCAGAGAAAAUGUUGCUUUUUUUUCUCCCAAUCAAUUCCCUAACAUAAACGUCCUUGGCGCAGAAUUUCUAACAUUGACAACACUGUACAUCUUUACCUCUCCAGGGUAUUGCUUUCUUCUUUGCAAUAAAAUAGGUCUGCUGCAGUGGGAAAAUUCCCAACCUUAACUUACACACAGCAGCUCUUCUUUUCUUGGGAAGCAAUAAAGAGAUACACUAGCAACUGUUCUCUGUAUUUAUUUUAUUAUUCACACAAAUGUGAAUCACUAAUCAGCAUCUAUCUUAAAUCACCAUAAACUUCCCGACUAGCUUGCUUUGUCUUUUUCUCCAGGCAGCCAGCCCAGCUGGUUCCCAUAGGUACUAGCAAAAUAAAUCCCUGGGAGAGAGAUCUAACAUUUGAUUCUUGCAAGCAAAAGCUUCUAGUACUACAGCCCAAUAAAACAUCAGUCAGCGCCUGGCAGUGUUUCUUUCUUCUGCUGCAUCAGCCCAGCCCCUCCCUGAUCUGCAUUCCCUCCAGCAGGCAGAAGUCUAAUUGAAAUAUUGACCAAAAUAAAACCAAUUCCCAUAAAUAUGUACUGUUACCAUGAGCUAUAAUUUUGUUCAUUCAUUAUUACUCACAGUGACAGCCUGAGCCCAGGAUGAGUAAGGGCUGCGAUGGCAGCCUUCAAGGAUGGUCCGUCCCUUUUCACAGGGGUUCUGUACUCGUGCAGCAUGUAAAGAGAGGGCAACAUCAGCUGGGAGAGCUCUGCUGGCAGUAAUGGCACCGCAUUGAUUUUUGCUCAUUGAGCUCCAAGCUCCUCAUGCUGAAAGGGAGAAUGUUGCCAUCUGCAUUGCAUAUCCGGGGGCUUUUUAAGCUCCCUUCAUUAGGUCGUACUUAGAGACAAUGCUCGCUCUUGAUUCAGAAGCUAUGCACAAACAUCUUAAAUGCAUUCACCAAGCUUCUCCCUGUGGACAAAAGACAGCUCUAAGGGCAGAAACUGGAACAUGACUGGUGUCACAGCCCAUCUCCGUCACACACCUGUCACUGUAUGUGACAGAGAAGAAAAUAGGACCUGGGACAGUACUUUGUGAUAGAAUAAGGUGUUGUAGAUAUUUGUUGUUCAACUCUGGGACCAAACAGCCUUCAAGAGAAAAGACUGACCGUGUGCUAAAUUGCACACUGCCUGCUUCUGUUCCUCUUGGGUUGCUUCCUGAGCUGGCCCAAAUGUGCUGUCUGAAAAAUGACUGACAGGGAGGCUUGAAGGGAAAGAGAAUAGGAGAUGGAGUAUCCUGCUGCCAUUUGUGACAGCCAGGGAGGGCUGUAACACGCACUGCAGGCUG
ensembl:lncRNA